rnacentral:rRNA from 1 species
GAUGAACGCUGGCGGCGUGCCUAAUACAUGCAAGUCGAGCGAACAGACGAGGAGCUUGCUCCUCUGACGUUAGCGGCGGACGGGUGAGUAACACGUGGAUAACCUACCUAUAAGACUGGGAUAACUUCGGGAAACCGGAGCUAAUACCGGAUAAUAUAUUGAACCGCAUGGUUCAAUAGUGAAAGACGGUUUUGCUGUCCCUUAUAGAUGGAUCCGCGCCGCAUUAGCUAGUUGAUAAGGUAACGGCUUACCAAGGCAACGAUGCGUAGCCGACCUGAGAGGGUGAUCGGCCACACUGGAACUGAGACACGGUCCAGACUCCUACGGGAGGCAGCAGUAGGGAAUCUUCCGCAAUGGGCGAAAGCUUGACGGAGCAACGCCGCGUGAGUGAUGAAGGUCUUCGGAUCGUAAAACUCUGUUAUUAGUGAAGAACAAAUGUGUAAGUAACUAUGCACGUCUUGACGGUACCUAAUCAGAAAGCCACGGCUAACUACGUG